UCCAUCGUGCAACUUAACAAACCAGUCAACAUGUAUUCAUUUCAAGGAGAUGAAGUUUUAAUGAUCACGUGACGACAAAGGGUGUUGUGCUGAACAUUUUGUUGAGUUGUGUUCAUCUGUUUUUAGACCCUGCAGAAAUCGUACCAGAAGGAACAUCCCCAACAGAACAUCCUGUUGAUUGUACAGGUUCUUCUACUCUGGACUUCAUGAUGUUGACUCUGCGUGUGGCUGAACUCAUCCUGAUGACUGUGAUCACUGUUCUUCUCUUCAGAACUCGAGGGACCCGGAGACCACCUUAUGACAACACUGUGCUUGAUGAUGAAGAUGAAGGCUCUGUGAACUAUGAUGAUAUUGGAGAACCUUGUGCUUCUGUCAGACUCCACUCAGCAACAAUAACUUCUAGACCAACAUCCACUCACCAGAUAAAUUAAUCUUCUGCUUUCAUCAUUUUGAUAUCUCAUUUUUUUAUGCAUUUAAAGAAACAGAUCUACCUAAUCGAAAGUCUCAAUUGCAGCAGGAUGAGAUCUGAACUCAGUUUAUUAAUUUCACUGUACAACCAAGAAUAAGUGCUGUUGAUCCAUAAUUUUUUUUUAAAUCUAAUUCAUUACAGGCUACGUAAUUAAUUGCAUAUAUUGAUAAUAUGAGAAGGAUUGCAUUACAGGUAGAUUUACUGCAUAACCCAUCUUUUUUCUUUAUCUGUAAAAGAAUAAAUAAAAAAGAUGAACUUGUAAAUAACUUAACCCCACUUAAAGCUUCUGCUGCAGUUUCUCUUUUAAUAUACUGAUGUAGUAUUGUUGCUAAAAUAGAUUUAAUGGGAUUUAUAUACGUUUUGCUUCACAUUAUUUUAAGUUUUAAGAGACUCAGUUAUAGUCUUCUCUUUAUUAUUUCUGAUUCAAUGUCAUCAUUAUCAAAUAAAUAAAUAUUGACCAUUUAUUUUCUAGAGUGUGUUUUAUGACAAAACUAAAUACACGCUUUGUGGGAGCUUUUUUCUUUCUCUUGUUAUUUGUUAUUUUGCAUUCGGUUUUGUAUUUGUUUAUCUUUGUAAACACCAGGGGGCAGUGGGCACCUUGCCAAGCACUUGGCAAUGUGGCAGGUGUGUCACUGUCAGGUGAAGGGAAAAAAGGUUUUUAACAGGGGAAAUGUUUGUUCGUUUUGCAUGUUCUGAAUUAAAAUGAGGAAAAGUGAUCAUGA